CGAGGGAUGCGGAUGACAAGUUUUGGUUAAGAUUGAAGUUGCAGCCUGUCAUUAGACUGUAGCCACGCUUGGUUGCCACGACUUGAUUUCUUUUCCACUCCGUCUGUGCUUCCCACUGCUAUAUGAGCAAAUGCACGCUGUAAAUUAAUAUUCCCCAUGCACACAUCAAACAGAUAAUUUGACCACACACUGUCAUAUUAUAAAAACGUGACUUUAAAUGUACUGAAGUUGAUGGAUAUAUAACCCACAUACAUAAACUACUGCAACUAUUCAUAAGUAUCAUUCUUUUGAUUUGGUUUACAGACAAAAUUAGCCAUCUAAUGUUUUGAGCACACUUUUUUUAUAGUUCUAUAAAGUUUGUAAAAAGUCAAAAGGGAUGAUUUAAGAUGUCGGUAGGGGUUGUCACUGCAUGUGUCGACUGCAGAGACCGGUGGUUAAUUACAAUAAGGGGCAAUCAAGUUGGGUCAACGUGACUCAUUGCUACAAAAAAAAAAAAGGCGCUAAAAAUGUCUGCUAUUCUUGGUAAAGGCCACACCCAGCUGGUGGAAGAAACCUGACUAAGCAUCUGCGAUCGCCCUCCCUUCAGUUCUUACUCCUUAUGAAAUCGGUGGACAGUUGCCGAGUCACGUAGCCACAAAUCUCAACUUUUACGUCCGCACUUGGUUUGAUGUCCGGUCCUGGACUCGUUGCCUCAUGUGUGCUUUGCGGAAGAGCGCAUUGCACGUCUGACGAAAGCAUCUCUGAUCAUGCAAACACUGAGAAACCAUGAGCAUCAUCUAUGUGGUGCCACUUAGCUUGCAGUCCAAAAUAGAACAAAUGACAGAGCGGGAGAACAGAUGAGUAGGUCAGCACAGUCGAUUGGAUGUUUAGGGAACUGACAAGACCAACCGACUUCAACAUGAAAAAAAAUAAAAUACUGUGAAGUGCUGAGAGGUUGUCUGCUGGCCAAGAAGCUCCACUCUCUCACUAAUAGCAGGUCUGCUUUCUAUAUAAAGCCACAUUAAAUGCACUCGCCUUAAAUGCACACACACCCUGAAACAACAUGCACAUGGCGUACCUGAAUGGCUGAAUGCUUAGCCAAGAGCCACUUUGCUACAAUUAUAGUUGGUUAUCGCUUUUAUCCCACACGGGCUUGCAGAUUUUUAACUUUUGCCUUUUCCCUUUCUUCAGCACACUUACCGGUACAUGCAAUUUGGCAUUCAGUUUGCGCGUAUUUGCCAGAUGGCUGAAAGCUAACCCAUCUAUUUUCUAUACCGUUUAUACUGUUCAAGUUUGCUUGGAAGCUGCCUUGUGUCCCAGAUACGUUGAUGACCAUUCCAGGAAAGGACAAACGCAUGUACUGUAGACAGACAAUGAAUUACUCACUCACAAUGACACAUCGAGUCUUUACAUAACCGAAGACAGUGAGCUCCCAAUGGGUAAUGGGUUACACGUUCCAGAUCCACCUGCACUAUAGAAAAUCUACCAUAUCAAUAGUCCAUUCAUUUAAAAAAAUACAUUAUUUUAUUAUUAUGGUUUUAUUUAGUUGCAUCACAGUUCUAAUUAUUUUUUAAAAUUUUGUUUUGACGUUUGUUUUAGUUUUGAUAUUAGCUUUAGUUUAUUUUUGACACAAAUGGAGAAUUUGUGGAAUGCAAGAUUAAAAAAAAUGUCACUAAGUGUUAUAAUAAUAUGUAGGCUACAAUUCCCAAACACCUGUUUGUCCUUCUUUCUUCUGUUCGACCAUAUAGUAAUACUUAAGUCAAUAAAUUCAAAAUAAAUCCUGCAAGCUCAUUUCUGAAAUGAAUUCACAAAGAUAAAAACAAAGGACAUUUUCACUUAAAUUAUCGUUAUCCAUCCAUCCAAACUUUUUCUGAUCCGCUUCGUCCUCACAAGGUGCGCGGGGUGUGGUGCCUAUCCCAACCGUCUUGGGGCAGCAGGCGAGGGACACCCUGAACUGGUUGUCAGCCACUCUCAGGGCUCACAUAGACAAAUAACCAUUCACACUCACAAUCACACCUAGGGACAAUUUAGAGCAGGGGUGUAAAACUCAUUUUUGUCGCGGGACAUUUUGGAGUUACAUCUUCCCUCGGAGGGCCGUUAAGACCGUGAAACUUAACUUAAUCAUCACAUCGUAAUAUUACUUGGCCACAAAAAAAAAAAUGAUGGCUCACUAGAAUUGAAAUCAGUUCAAUCAUUGCUCAAGUGAGUAUAAACAGGGUAACACAAUUAUUGCAAAAUGUCACCUUUAUUUAUUACGUAUGACAAUUUGAGAUUUUGGUCUAGAUUUAAGCAACGAUCAUGGAAGUUGAUACAGAUAAUUUGCUUUUGCGGGCCACGUAAAAUGACGUGGUGGGCCAGAUCUGGCCCCCGGGCCUUAACUUUGACAUAUGUGUGUGAUUUAGUGUUACUUUAACCGGCCAUGCAUGUUUCUGGAAUGUGGGAGGAAAUCCGAGUACCCGGAGAAAACCCACAUAAACACCGGAAGAACAUGCAAACUCCACACAGGAAGGCCGCAGCUGGAAUCGAACCCUGUGAGGCCAACGCGCUAACUGGUCGGCCAAAAUUUUGAGGCAGGGUUUGGUCAUCUUGCAUGUGACAUCAACGGGCAUGAGUGUCUAGUUGUGAGCUGUGGCCAACAGCAUCUCCUGCAAAUAGCAUCCUCACCUGGAAGACAUAUUCACCAGGUCGCACGUCUGUGAUGUCGAUCCACUGGCAGUCAAUGUCAUGGCGCUUUGAUGGCCUGCUUCUCAAUCGCCUGCGCCUGGGAAAUUUCUAUUCUGACCUUUCAUUAUAAUCAGCGUAAAGAACCAUUCCCGCAAGAGGCACAGGCAAAAAUGGGAAACCAAACCAAUGUGCUGGCUGCUUGGGGAGGUAGUGAUUGAGGCUAGAACAAACCCUCAGCUCUGCCUCUUUUGUUUUAGGACAUGAAACCUCAGCAGCUGAGUAAAGAAAUCAAGUUGCUCUGAGGUCAAUGUUAGUGCUGAUAUCAACGAUCAGGAAACGUGCGUCUUUAGACCUUUUUGGGGUACAUUGCAUUUUCACAGGGGCGGCAUCCUCAAAGGUUCUGAUUUCGUAGAGUCGAUGCUUGACUUUUACAAUUUGGGCGCAUAUCCAUGCAGU